GACAGAGGGUGCAAACGUUGUUCGGAAUUACUGGGCGUAAAGCGCGUGUAGGCGGCCCUGCAAGUCGGAUGUGAAAUCCCACGGCUCAACCGUGGAAGUGCAUUCGAAACUGCAGGGCUAGAGUCCUGGAGAGGAAGGUGGAAUGCUUGGUGUAGAGGUGAAAUUCGUAGAUAUCAAGCGGAACACCGGUGGCGAAGGCGGCCAAUCUGGACGGAUACUGACGCUGAGACGCGAAAGCGUGGGUAGCAACAGGA
rnacentral:rRNA from 1 species